rnacentral:rRNA from 1 species
CCUACGGGAGGCAGCAGUGGGGAAUAUUGCACAAUGGGGGAAACCCUGAUGCAGCGACGCCGCGUGAGUGAAGAAGUCAUUCGUUAUGUAAAGCUCUAUCAGCAGGGAAGAAAAUGACGGUACCUGAGUAAGAAGCCCCGGCUAACUCCGUGCCAGCAGCCGCGGUAAUACGUAGGGGGCAAGCGUUAUCCGGAUUUACUGGGUGUAACGGGAGCGUAGACGGCAGUGCAAGUCUGGAGUGAAAGGCGGGGGCUCAACCCCCGGACUGCUCUGGAAACUGUACGGCUGGAGUGCAGGAGAGGUAAGUGGAAUUCCUAGUGUAGCGGUGAAAUGCGUAGAUAUUAGGAGGAACACCAGUGGCGAAGGCGGCUUACUGGACUGUAACUGACGUUGAGGCGCGAAAGCGUGGGGAGCAAACAGGAUUAGAUACCCCAGUAGUC